ACCAUUUUUAUUAAUUAUUAGAAUGGGCUAUUUGUUAACAAGAGCAACAAUAAUUCAAAUAUCUAAUACAUAAUGCAGUUUUUAGUUUUUUUAAUUUAUAAAAUUUUGUAACUUAUAUUUUUUUUAAUAUUAUAUAUAAAAAAAUUUAAUAUUAUUAAUUAUUACUAUUUACUAUUUUUUUUAAAAAAAUUUGGGGGGGACCAUGGCCACCUUAGGUCCCCCCGUGGAUCCGCCACUGUUGACAAUGCAGAAAGUGAAACACCAGGGUGAGAAAUGCAUGAUGGAGGAUUUUCAGGGAAUGCUAAUGGAUAUGAUAGCAGAAAGUGAUGAAGGGAGGGGCAAAUCCGGGUUAUGUUGGAGCUCCUCUAAUAGUCCUAAGAAAAAGACACGUAUCUUAUAGUAAUUAUAAGUCUAUAACAACUUUGUAAUUAGAAUUAAAUAAUCAAUUAUUUUGAU